rnacentral:lncRNA from 1 species
CUGAAUACUGUAUUUUGUCUGUUCAUACAGACAAACACUGUUUUGCUCAAGCAAAUAAAAAAUAUAUCCACUAGUAACACCUGAACGGUUUCUCAGAUCCAUAGCUGAAACCCACAGGAAUGUUAAAAUAGUUACAAUUAAGGAAUUAAAAUCUCAGUGAUUUUGAAAACUGCCAGUUAGCCUGCAACACUAAUCCAGAAUCCAGCACUGCUUUGUAACAAUUCAAAAAAGAAAUGAGGUUGCUUGUGAAGGCCAGAGCUUUGGUGACAAUCAGAACCAAAUUUAAAGAUCUGUGGUUUAUCCAGACCUGAGCAGUUGCCCGUGCCUGGCGAUCCUCUUUAUUUGCAAGGCUUUAUGGCUACAGCACAUUCUUCAUUCAUUGCACUUAUGACUGAUAUCUGCACAUCUUCAUUGGCAUUGAACUUUCCUUCUAUUUCUUUUCCCAGAUCACCUUCUGGCAGCUUUAGAUCCUCACGAACUUCGCCACUUUCUGUCAGCAGGGAGAGGUACCCAUCCUGAAUCCCUAUCAGCUGGUAGUCGUUCCUCUUUAUAUUUGGGACAUCCAUGUUAUGAGUUGAUGGGCAAAUAUCUUCGUAUUUUUUCCCGUUGAAGAUAUCAAUACCAACCAGGUGGACCUUGGCGUGGCCGUGCUUUCCCGUCUUGGAGGUGGACAUCUCCACGAUCUUACACGGGCGCCCCUUCAGUACCACGAAGCCGUUCUUACGCAGCGCCGAGCACUGCAUGGGAUAGGUGGACGAGGCGCCGGCGUCGCCCGUCGUGAAGUCCAACUCGUCGGCCAUGGCGGCGGCUGCGGGGCUGCAGAGCGCGGCGGGGUGGCCGAGGGGCGGCCGGGAGGGCGGGCGGGGGCACGGCGCCGCGCACACGCGCCCGACCACUGCGGCGGCCGGCGGGAAGGGGCGGCGGGCGGCGGGCAGCGCGCGCACCACGCCCCGCGCCCCGCCCCCC